AGAUAAAACAGUGGCUAGCAUACUCUCAAGCAUGCGAAUCGUCAAACCAUUUCUGAGUACAUCACUUCCGCGUUGCUUUCGCAGGUGGAGACCGGCGCAAACGCGGGACGACUCUUUUGGAGUCCCCCGGACACGCGUCGCAAUCUGCGAAAGGGUCAGGAUUUUUUAAAUUCUCGUGUUUAAACGUCGUCCGUCCUCGUCUGAAACUAUAAUUACAAAACUACAA
rnacentral:misc_RNA from 1 species